rnacentral:lncRNA from 1 species
AUCAUUAAGUUAUACUAGGAUCAUAGCAACAUCAUAAAAUAUCAAAUUAUACUUAAAAUCAUUGUAAAAGUUGAAAAAAUCAAUUACCAAUUAAUCAAACUAGAAAAUAUUUAAAAAAAUUGGUAUGCCAGUUCCGGCCCGCCGAUCGAUCGGUAGUCCAAGGAUUGCCGAACCAGGCCGAACCGGAUCAAACCGGGCCGUACGGCUUGGUUCAAGCCGAAUCGAGCCAACCCGGUCCCAUACCGAGUUUGUUCGCUAUAGAAAAAUAGUUCCAACCCCAUAGGGGUCGGAACCUCAAUAAUUCCAGCCGAAACCGGUAAUUUUUAGCCGGUUCCGUCCGGUUCGACUCAGACUCGGUGGCUACUAUCCUACGUACCUCAGAGCAUCUCACGGGUCGGAUUUUGCUACCGGCAUAGUCGGAUGGUCCCCUCUACAGCCGUAUUAUCAACUAAGAACACCUCAAAGCUAGAACUUC